UCAGUAGCAAACGCUGGUCUCAAAGAUUAAGCCAUGCAUGUCUUAGUUUAAGCAAAUCUAUACUGUGAAACG
rnacentral:rRNA from 1 species